GUUUCCGUAGUGUAGCGGUUAUCACGUCUGCUUCACAUGCAGAAGGUCCCCGGUUCGAUCCCGGGCGGGAACA
rnacentral:tRNA from 1 species